UGAAUAACACGUGAGAAUCUGCCCAUUAGUGGGGGAUAACCUGGGGAAACCCAGGCUAAUACCGCAUAAUCCCUACGGGGGAAAGCAGGGGACCUUCGGGCCUUGUGCUGAUGGAUGAGCUCGCGUCGGAUUAGCUUGUUGGUGAGGUAAUGGCUCACCAAGGCGACGAUCCGUAGCUGGUCUUAGAGGAUGAUCAGCCACACCGGGACUGAGACACGGCCCGGACUCCUACGGGAGGCAGCAGUGGGGAAUCUUGGACAAUGGGGGCAACCCUGAUCCAGCCAUGCCGCGUGUGUGAAGAAGGCCUUCGGGUUGUAAAGCACUUUCAGUAGGGAGGAAGGCUUAUCCUUAAUACGGAUGAGUACUUGACGUUACCUACAGAAGAAGCACCGGCUAAUUUCGUGCCAGCAGCCGCGGUAAUACGAAAGGUGCAAGCGUUAAUCGGAAUUACUGGGCGUAAAGCGCGCGUAGGCGGU
rnacentral:rRNA from 1 species